AUCACCAAAACAAGUGCUGCUGAAUCAACGUUGCCAAAUGGCUCUCAGAGAAGACCUCUGGCCAUAUUGGGUCUACAGCUAUCGAAGCCAAAUGCCAAAAAGACUGGCUAUUUCAGUGACAAGACUGAUUUUCAUAAAUCUUCUACUGUUCUGGGAUAUGCUGCACAUGCAGUCUCCCUCAUUGCAUCAUAUCUCAAUGUUCCUCUUAGAUAUCCUUUGCGCUUUGGAGGUUCGCAGUCGUAUAUUCUUGAUCCUUCGCCCUCAGUUGAACCAUCAUCUAUAACAAAUCUCAGUCAGUUUGUGUUAUCAUAUUGAUCUCUUUGACAUUAGCCUGCUGAAAGAACAAAAUAAUCCUUUCAGUUUCAGAUUGUGGUUUGUAUGAUUUUUUUUUCUAUAGAUUAAUUUGAGAUGUGCAUUGAAAACUAGGAUGUUCCGUACCAAUUGCUAAUCUGAAUUGGAGAACUGUUGUUUUUCUGCACAGAAAUGCAAAUAUCCUGGUGCUCUUUUGGGACAAGUGUUGUUUCUAUGAAGAGAAAUGCAAAUAUACUUCAAAUACACUAUAUAGGUGUACUCAUUUGCUACCUUGUGCCGUUUUGGGACAGUCACUGCAUAAGCCUUUCUGCAUGAGGCAUUCAGUUCACUAUGUUUUUUUUUAAUUUUUACUUCCUACCUUCAAAUGCAGAUGGAUUUGCUGAGAAAGGUUGGUGCAGCUAGAGAAGUUAAUUGUUUUUUAUUGUUUGGACAUUAAAAUGUCAUGAUUAUAGAGUGGAACCAAGCAUUAGCUAGCUUGAUCAAAUUAUAUGGUAGAAUAUGCCAGACAUGCAUGUUUAAUGUAGAAUAAGCUAUAUAUUUUCCUGGUGAAUGGCAGAAACUGAAAACAUGUCUAUUGUCUGCUUCUUUCAGAUGUUUAUGUCUAUAUUAUUUCUUUCAAACCAA